rnacentral:rRNA from 1 species
GUACACAAAAGCGCAUGUGCUGUGAGCUCGAUGAGUAGGGCGGGACACGUGGUAUCCUGUCUGAAUAUGGGGGGACCAUCCUCCAAGGCUAAAUACUCCUGACUGACCGAUAGUGAACCAGUACCGUGAGGGAAAGGCGAAAAGAACCCCGGCGAGGGGAGUGAAAAAGAACCUGAAACCGUGUACGUACAAGCAGUGGGAGCACCCUUCGGGGUGUGACUGCGUACCUUUUGUAUAAUGGGUCAGCGACUUAUAUUCUGUAGCAAGGUUAACCGAAUAGGGGAGCCGGAGGGAAACCGAGUCUUAAUUGGGCGUUAAGUUGCAGGGUAUAGACCCGAAACCCGGUGAUCUAGCCAUGGGCAGGUUGAAGGUUGGGUAACACUAACUGGAGGACCGAACCGACUAAUGUUGAAAAAUUAGCGGAUGACCUGUGGCUGGGGGUGAAAGGCCAAUCAAACCGGGAGAUAGCUGGUUCUCCCCGAAAGCUAUUUAGGUAGCGCCUCGUGAAUUCAUCUCCGGGGGUAGAGCACUGUUUCGGCUAGGGGGCCAUCCCGGCUUACCAACCCGAUGCAAACUGCGAAUACCGGAGAAUGUUAUCACGGGAGACACACGGCGGGUGCUAACGUCCGUCGUGAAGAGGGAAACAACCCAGACCGCCAGCUAAGGUCCCAAAGUCAUGGUUAAGUGGGAAACGAUGUGGGAAGGCCCAGACAGCCAGGAUGUUGGCUUAGAAGCAGCCAUCAUUUAAAGAAAGCGUAAUAGCUCACUGGUCGAGUCGGCCUGCGCGGAAGAUGUAACGGGGCUAAACCAU